rnacentral:tRNA from 1 species
GCGGAAAUGGUGAAAUUGGCAGACACGCCAUCUUGAGGGGGUGGUGCCCUAUGGGCAUGGGGGUUCAAGUCCCCCUUUCCGCA